CUCACCAAAAUUUUUUAUUUUAUUUCAGUCCAAGAUCCCAAAAACAGAAGUAAAUAAAGAAAAGUGCCAGUAUUUAACCAAUUCAGCGCCAACCACCCAAAAGGCAAUAAGGCAUCUCCUGUGCCUUCAGCUCCCAAUAUAAAUAUAUUUAUAGAUAUGUAUAUAUAUCUAUCUCUCUAUAGAUAUAUAAAAUACAUGUCUGUGUGUUGCUCAAUAUUAAUUUUCUGACAAUAUAACAUAGUGUUGUACAUUAUAUAAACCAUGUUAAGAUAAUUGAAUAGGGGAGGGUCUCUGUUGGAAAAUUCAUAUUAAAAAUCAGUUGGCCCCCAAAAAAACAUUAAAAAAAUGGGACUGUAGGAAAUGAGAAAAAGGGCAUCUCACAUAUGUUGCCAUCACUAGGUAUCAAAGAUCCUUUACCUUAAUGUAUUCUCUGUGCAUGAAAAUUCUCUCACCCCAAUCUCUACCAAGAGUUUGUGAGACGCCCUCUUAUUCCACCAGAGGGAGCGUCACUGCCCCUACAACUUAUAGGAAUCCCUGUGUGUGAGACGCUCUCUUAUCGCAUCAGAGGGAGCGUCACUGACCCUAUAACUUAUAGGAAUCCCUGUGUGUGAGACGCUCUCUUAUCCCAUCAGAGGGGACGUCACUGACCCUAUAACUUAUAGGAAUCCCUGUGUGUAAGACGCUCUCUUAUCCCAUCAGAGGGGCGUCACUGACCCUAUAAUUUAUAGGAAUCCCUGUGUGUGAGACGCUCUCUUAUCCCAUCAGAGGGAGCGUCACUGACCCUAUAACUUAUAGGAAUCCCUGUGUG